GACGUGUUUACCAGAAGAGUCACCUCCACCAGAGAUGUCAACAUCACCAGAGAAGACGCCUUCGCCAGAAAAGACAUUUCCAUCAGAGGAGCCAACAAACGCGCGGGAAGGUCUCCCGCAUAUUACCGAAAUUACCAGCGUACCCUUCCAUCACGCAAGACGCAUGCACCGCAGAUGUUUUUACUAUUCUACCCCUCCGUUUGUAAAUCUAUAAAUAGGCCUCGUGCUCGUGUAUUAU
rnacentral:lncRNA from 1 species